UCGCGUCAGACCACAUCAGUCCACAUCAGUCCUUCAGUCCACAUCAGUCCUUCAGUCCACAUCAGUCCUUCAGUCCACAUCAGUCUACAUCAGUCCUUCAGUCCACAUCAGUCCUUCAGUCCACAUCAGUCCUUCAGUCCACAUCAGUCUACAUCAGUCCUUCAGUCCACAUCAGUCCUUCAGUCCACAUCAGUCUACAUCAGUCCUUCAGUCUACAUCAGUCCUCAUCAGUCCUUCAGUCCUUCAGUCCACAUCAGUCCUUCAGUCCUUCAGUCCAUAUCAGUCCUUCAGUCCAUAUCAGUCCUCAUCAGUCCUCAUCAGACCACAUCAGUCCACAUCAGUCCUUCAGUCCACAUCAGUCCUCAUCAGUCCACAUCAGUCCUUCAGUCCACAUCAGUCCUUCAGUCCACAUCAGUCCUCAUCAGUCUACAUCAGUCCUUCAGUCCACAUCAGUCCUCAUCAGUCUACAUCAGUCCUUCAGUCCUCAUCAGUCCACAUCAGUCCUUCAGUCCACAUCAGUCCUUCAGUCCACAUCAGUCCUCAUCAGUCUACAUCAGUCCUUCAGUCCUCAUCAGUCCACAUCAGUCCUUCAGUCCACAUCAGUCCUUCAGUCCACAUCAGUCCUCAUCAGUCUACAUCAGUCCUUCAGUCCUCAUCAGUCCACAUCAGUCCUUCAGUCCACAUCAGUCCUUCAGUCCACAUCAGUCCUCAUCAGUCUACAUCAGUCCUUCAGUCCUCAUCAGUCCACAUCAGUCCUUCAGUCCACAUCAGUCCUUCAGUCUACAUCAGUCCACAUCAGUCCACAUCAGUCCACAUCAGUCCACAUCAGUCCUUCAGUCCUCAUCAGUCCACAUCAGUCCUUCAGUCCACAUCAGUCCUUCAGUCUACAUCAGUCCACAUCAGUCCACAUCAGUCCACAUCAGUCCUUCAGUCCACAUCAGUCCUCAUCAGUCCUUCAGUCCAUAUCAGUCCUCAUCAGUCCUCAUCAGACCACAUCAGUCCUUCAGUCCACAUCAGUCCUUCAGUCCAUAUCAGUCCUUCAGUCUACAUCAGUCCUUCAGUCUACAUCAGUCCUUCAUUCUACAUCAGUCCUCAUCAGUCCUCAUCAGACCACAUCAGUCCACAUCAGUCCUCAUCAGUCCACAUCAGUCCUUCAGUCCACAUCAGCCCUCAUCAGUCAUUCAGUCCACAUCAGUCCUUCAGUCUACAUCAGUCCUCCAGUCUACAUCAGUCCACAUCAGUCCUUCAGUCCACAUCAGUCCUCCAGUCUACAUCAGUCCACAUCAGUCCUUCAGUCCACAUCAGUCCUCCAGUCUACAUCAGUCCACAUCAGUCCACAUCAGUCCUCCAGUCUACAUCAGUCCACAUCAGUCCUUCAGUCUACAUCAGUCCACAUCAGUCCUCCAGUCUACAUCAGUCCUCAUCAGUCCACAUCAGUCACAGUGGUUCUCCUCCCAUCUGAUCCUCUCAGUAGCCAGUUUAUUACGGUGCUUCCCAUUUUUACAGCAACAAAUUGAAUCACUUGUGAUUUCGUACCGUGAGUUUUUAAUCUAA
rnacentral:lncRNA from 1 species